rnacentral:rRNA from 1 species
AGUGAACGCUGGCGGUAGGCCUAACACAUGCAAGUCGAACGGCAGCACAGGAGAGCUUGCUCUCUGGGUGGCGAGUGGCGGACGGGUGAGGAAUACAUCGGAAUCUACUUUUUCGUGGGGGAUAACGUAGGGAAACUUACGCUAAUACCGCAUACGACCUACGGGUGAAAGAAGGGGAUCUUCGGACCUUGCGCGAUUGAAUGAGCCGAUGUCGGAUUAGCUAGUUGGCGGGGUAAAGGCCCACCAAGGCGACGAUCCGUAGCUGGUCUGAGAGGAUGAUCAGCCACACUGGAACUGAGACACGGUCCAGACUCCUACGGGAAGCAGCAGUGGGGAAUAUUGGACAAUGGGCGCAAGCCUGAUCCAGCCAUACCGCGUGGGUGAAGAAGGCCUUCGGGUUGUAAAGCCCUUUUGUUGGGAAAGAAAUCCAGCUGGUUAAUACCCGGUUGGGAUGACGGUACCCAAAGAAUAAGCACCGGCUAACUUCGUGCCAGCCGCCGCAGUAA